GAAGGUGUGAUGUCAUCAGGUGUGCAUGUGACGCAGGUGUGGGUGGAGCUCCUCUCGGCUGGGCAGGUGGAGGUGAGGGCGGGGCUGUCAUACGGCAGCUUCCUGCUGCUCCACAGGACUGAUGAAGACUUGGCUCGGAUGAUGAAGAGGCUGGUGAACAGUUUCCACGACGACAGAGAGACGCUGUCCUCCAGCCUGCUCACAGUCCAUUAUCCAUGAGGACCAGAAAGUAGACCAGUCCAUUAUCCAUGAAGACCAGAAGAUAGACCAGUCCAGUAUCCAUGAGGACCAGAAGGUAGACCAGUCCAUUAUCUUUGAAGACCAGAAGAUAGACCAGUCCAACAGGCAUGCUGUCCAGGAUGAUGACCAGUCCAUUAUCCAUGAGGACCAGGAUGACGACCAGUCCAUUAUCCAUGAGGACCAGGAUGAAGACCUGUCCUCUGGGCAUGAGGACCAGGAUCUGAGGGAUUUCCAGAGUACCGGGUCUCUGUCAGAGAUCUCAAGGUCAAACGGUUUCUGUCUGGCUAACACUGAGACCAUCCUGUUUGACCCGACUCCGCCCACAAACUGUGUCAACCAAUCAGAAGACUCAACAGUAAGACGAGCGAGUGUCCCUCCAGCCGUCUGUCUGCAGUUCUGUCACCCGUCUGUCUCUCCUCCUCUUCUUCAUGGUUUUUCAGGGAUGUUAAGCAGACUGAAGAGGAGGAGCUUGAGACGGGCCCAGUCUCGUUGCCUGGCCCCCUCCACCUGCUGCACACCUGGACCCUUGAGACAGACAUCCUUGAAUGAAUGAAGACACAUACAGCAGAGACAUGGGGGGCUUCAGUGAACCCUGGUGGGAGAUCAUGAAGCCUCUUCUCACCUGACUGUAGAUCAGGGAUUGAUGGACUGGAAAAAGACUUUAAAAACUGGCUCCUGGACUGUCAGAUAGAUAGAUAGAUAGAAGAUGUGAAAUGAACCUUUGUACAAAGUAAACACUAAACACUUCCAGAAGAAUAAAGUUCAAACCUGUUCAACAUGAAA